UGGGGAAUAUUGCACAAUGGACGGAAGUCUGAUGCAGCGACGCCGCGUGGGGGAUGAAGGCGUUCGGGUUGUAAACUCCUUUUGAUGCUGAACAAGGCUCUUUUUAGGGUUGAGGGUAGGUGUUGAAUAAGCGCCGGCUAACUACGUGCCAGCAGCCGCGGUAAUACGUAGGGCGCGAGCGUUGUCCGGAAUUAUUGGGCGUAAAGGGCUCGUAGGCGGUUUGUCGCGUCUGCUGUGAAAGACCGGGGCUUAACUCCGGGGUUGCAGUGGGUACGGGCAGACUAGAGUGCGGUAGGGGUAGCUGGAAUUCCUGGUGUAGCGGUGGAAUGCGCAGAUAUCAGGAGGAACACCGAUGGCGAAGGCAGGUUACUGGGCCGUUACUGACGCUGAGGAGCGAAAGCAUGUGGAGCGAACAGGC
rnacentral:rRNA from 1 species